AUUCCGGUUGAUCCUGCCGGACCCGACUGCUAUCGGCAUGGGAUUAAGCCAUGUUAGUCGUGCGUCCUCCGGCUGUGGAGGGCGCGGCGUACGGCUCAGUAGCACGUAGUCAACCUACCUUGGAGACGCGGACAAUCCCGGGAAACUGGGGCUAAUCCGUGAUAGGUUCGGAGUCCUGGAAUGGCUUCGAGCUCAAAGGGUUGGAGGAGCAUGCUUCUUUUAUUGCUCCAAGAUGGGACUGCGGCCGAUCAGGUUGUUGGCGGGGUAAUGGCCCACCAAGCCUAUAACCGGUGCGGGCUCUGAGAGGAGGAGCCCGGAGAUGGACACUGAGAUAAGGGUCCAGGUCCUACGGGGCGCAGCAGGCGCGAAACCUUCACACUGCGCUAACGCGCGAUGAGGCUAUACCGAGUGCCACCCGCUGAGGGUGGCUUUUCCACGGUCUAAAACGCCGGGGGAAUAAGGGGAGGGCAAGCCUGGUGUCAGCCGCCGCGGUAAUACCAGCUCCCCGAGUGGUCGGGACGAUUAUUGGGCCUAAAGCAUCCGUAGCCGGCUCCAUAGGUCUCUUGUUAAAUCCAACGGCUCAACCGUUGGACUGCAGGAGAUACCAUGGAGCUAGGGGGCGGGAGAGGCGGACGGUACUCCAUGGGUAGGGGUAAAAUCCUCUGAUCCAUGGAAGACCACCAGUGGCGAAGGCGGUCCGCUAGAACGCGCCCGACGGUGAGGGAUGAAAGCUGGGGGAGCGAACCGGAUUAGAUAUGGAGCGGGGGAGCAUAUAUACGCGCAGCAAUCAGUAAGUGCAGUGCUUCACGACAGAAUAUCUACGGGAAGGAUGAUUUGGCGAAGUUUGAAGCUCAGAUCGGAUUCACCCACCCUGUCAAGAAGAACGCACUUGCGCGUGCUCUGUCCGUUCCACUAAAUACCCGGGUAGUCCCAGCUGUAAACGAUGCAGGCUAGGUGAUAGGGGAACUAUAUGUUUCUCUAGUGCCGCAGGGAAGCCGAUAAGCCUGCCGCCUGGGGAGUACGGCUGCAAGGCUGAAACUUAAAGGAAUUGGCGGGGGAGCACCACAAGGGGUGAAGCCUGCGGUUCAAUUGGAGUCAACGCCGGGAACCUUACCAAGGGCGACAGCAGGAUGAAGGUCACUCUGAAGAAAUUACCAGACGAGCUGAGAGGAGGUGCAUGGCCGUCGUCAGCUCGUGCCGUGAGGCGUCCUGUUAAGUCAGGAAACGAGCGAGACCCACACCACAUGUUGCUAUCGUUACCCGAAAGGGUGGCGGGGCUAAUUUGUGGGACCGCCACCGCUAAGGUGGAGGAAGGCGUGGGCCACGGCAGGUCAGUAUGCCCCGAAACCCUUGGGCCACACGCGGGCUGCAAUGAUAGGGACAGCGGGCUCCGACCCCGUAAGGGGGAGGUAAUCCCUAAACCCUAUCCCAGUUAUGACUGAGGGCUGCAACCCGCCCUCACGAAUCUGGAAUCCCUAGUAACCGCGCGUCACCAUCGCGCGGUGAAUACGUCCCUGCUCCUUGCACACACCGCCCGUCGCUCCACCCGAAUUGGUUCAUGGCGAGGUGGCGUCUUGUUGGCGCUAUCGAACCUUGGGUCGAUAAGGGGGGAGAAGUCGUAACAAGGUGGCCGUACGGGAACGUGCGGCCGGAUCACCUCCU
rnacentral:rRNA from 1 species